rnacentral:lncRNA from 1 species
AGAAUCCUCAGCGCCUGAGGCCCCCGCCCCUUUUGUCUGCGUUAGUGAAGGAAUUGGCUCUUCGAGGGUGCGACUAAAGAAAGCCGUUGAGAGAACAGAUAGAUGUGAUCCAGACAAGUAUGUGAACAAGUGCUUGGAAACACAUAUUUCUGAACAAUUCCCUUUAUGACAAUUCCCUCAGAGUUGGAAGAGACAACAAUUGAUGACUAUAAUGCCAAUUAAGUAGAAUGGAUAUGAAUGCCUGAAAAUAAGCUGGAAAUUUUAAGGCCAAAAUUCUUCGAAAUACAAAGAAGAAACCUUUCUGAAGACAAAUAGCUGUAGAAGUUCUCCUCAAUGCAUACAAAUGAUAAUUCUUAAAACACAAUGACUGAAAGUAUUUAUUUGCAACAAAUUUAUUUGACCACUUAUUCAAGGGCUGCUCGUCCAAGAGCUAUAUUAAGGUCUAUUUACUUUAUCCCUACCAAAGGCGGUAUUUUUUGAGGAUAGAAACUACGUCUCAUGGAGUUUAUCACUCAGAGUGCCUACUUAGGAGACUGCUUGCAUAAUGAAUGAAACGAAGGAAGAAUGAAUGAAUACUUUGGGACCCCACCUCCCAACACACUUCCACAUAUCGAAAUGCACACGGAAUGAGGUACAUCUUCUAAGGAGAGUGGCAUUGAAGAGUAAUCAAAACAACAGGAUAUUCACAGGAGGACUGGAGUAAAAAGAAAUUUCCAGUGAAAAAGAUUACUCAAAAUAUUUAUUCAAUACACUCUGAAAUUAGAAACUGAG